CCUACGGGAGGCUGCAGUGGGGAAUCUUCCGCAAUGGACGAAAGUCUGACGGAGCAACGCCGCGUGAGUGAUGACGGCCUUCGGGUUGUAAAGCUCUGUUAAUCGGGACGAAUGGUUCUUAUGCAAAUAGUGCAAGGAUUUGACGGUACCGGAAUAGAAAGCCACGGCUAACUACGUGCCAGCAGCCGCGGUAAUACGUAGGUGGCAAGCGUUGUCCGGAAUUAUUGGGCGUAAAGCGCGCGCAGGCGGAUUGGUCAGUCUGUCUUAAAAGUUCGGGGCUUAACCCCGUGAUGGGAUGGAAACUACCAAUCUAGAGUAUCGGAGAGGAAAGUGGAAUUCCUAGUGUAGCGGUGAAAUGCGUAGAUAUUAGGAAGAACACCAGUGGCGAAGGCGACUUUCUGGACGAAAACUGACGCUGAGGCGCGAAAGCCAGGGGAGCGAACGGGAUUAGAUACCCGAGUAGUC
rnacentral:rRNA from 1 species